GUUGAGACUAGACAAGAAACUAGGACUUUUAAUUAUUUAGAGAAAGGGGGUUGAGAUUUAGAUGGGAGGCAAUGCAAAUAUCAAGAAGCCAUUAAUAAAUAAAGCAAAAUAAUCUAAAACAGUAAUAUGAGACAUUGUAUAACAAAGUGAAAAUUAUGUGAUACAAGUAGAAAACAGCUGGGACUUCUGAGCAGGAAAGAUUGAUGGCACUAAAACUGAAAAGCUAUACCGAAGUGAAAUUUGAGUUUCAGCUGAGGAUGGUUGGGAUGGGAUAAGACAGAUGCUGAGGAAGGAGGCUGUUCUAGAUUUGAUGAAUGAAGGACUGCUGCUGCUGCUAAGUCACUUCAGUCGUGUCCGACUCUGUGCGACCCCAUAGACGGCAGCCCACCAGGCUUCCCCGUCCCUGGGAUUCUCCAGGCAAGAACACUGGAGUGGGUUGCCAUGUCCUUCUCCAAUGCAUGAAAGUGAAAAGUGAAAGUGAAGUCGCUCAGUUGUGUGCGACCCUCAGCGACCCCAUGGACUGCAGCCUUCCAGGCUCCUCCAUCCAUGGGAUUUUCCAGGCAAGAGUUCUGGAGUGGGGUGCCAUUGCUUUCUCUGGAAUGAAGGACUAAUGAAAAUCAAAUGACCAAAUGCAUGAAUAAGCACUUAGAAUAGGAAUCAACAGGAUAAAGGUGGGAGACUCAUGCCCAGUGGAGAAGAGAAUCUCUGGUGGGAGAGAAAUUUGAUAGAUGAUGUAGCUUUUGCUCCUCUCUUGUGCCAGGCCCUGGGAGAGAAACAUACGGGGAGGUUAUUAGUCUACUACUACUACUACUAAGCUGCUUCAGUCGUGUCUGACUCUGUGCGACCCCAUAGACAGCAGCUCACCAGGCUCUGCCAUCCCUGGGAUUCUCCAGGCAAGAACACUGGAGUGGGUUGCUAUUUCCUUCUCCAAUGCAUGAAAGUGAAAAGUGAAAGUGAAGUCGCUCAUUCGUGUCCAACUCUUCUCGACCCCAUGGACUGCAGCCUACCAGGCUUCCCCGUACAUGGGAUUUUCCAGGCAAGACUACUGGAGUGGGGUGCCAUUGCCUUCUCCGGGUUAUUAGUCUAGUUGGUGUAUAAGUGAGCCCUUGAUGAUGCUGUGGGAGCCCUUCUAGGGAAGAAGAGCCAGAAACGUGCUUUGAAACAUGGGAAGGGAACCACCCAUUGCUCAAGAAGGUGUGUUGGUUCUCCUGGAAUCCCCAACCAGGCUCCUCUCAGAAGGAGCAAAAUGAUUAUUUACCUGCAUCUAUAUGGUUCUGAAGCUAUGAUACUUUGUAUUGGCCACCUGAUGCAAAGAGCUUGCUCAUUAGAAAAGACCCUGAUGCUGGGAAAGAUUGAAGGCAGGACGAGAAGGGGACGACAAAGGAUGAGAUGGUUGGAUGGCAUCACCAACUAGAUAGACAUGAACUUGAGCACACUCUGGGAGUUGGUAAUGGACAGGGAAGCCUGGAAUGCUGCAGUCCAUGAGGUCACAGAGUCAGACACGAAUGAAUGAAAGAACUGAACUGAUACGGUUUUGAAAAAACAGAUACUAAUUAUUAAUUCACUGGGGAAAAUUUGACAUCUCACAUUAACUUUUUUGGGUUUAAGAGUUAAAAACUGAUUUUCAAAAGGUUAACUUAUGAAAACCUCAGCCCAUACACACUUGCUCAGUUAGCCUUUGUAAGGUUCCGUCAGAUGGCACUAGGUCCACUGGCCAUCAGUGGAGGUAGGCGUGGAAGAAAGGAGUUUUGGACCUUGAAUGUAGGGAUCCAGAGGGCACUGAGCAGGUAGACUUUCAGAGAAGUGGACCAAAGCACCUGCUUCACCACCGUCUUAGCCCUGGAGGUAGACAACCCUCGCCCAAAUUCUCAGUGCUUCUGUUUCAUUCCACACUUCCCUGUUUAUUUAAUUUCACUGGCUUUUAGUCAGAAAUUGACUGUGUAAAAUAUUUGGCAUAGAAAGUAAAGUGAAACACUGAAAAUCCAAGGCAACAGGAUAUAAACAGUGAACACAAUAUCCUUGGCCAGUGACUUCUUGUUUCCUCUCCUUAGCAGUGCUGUGGAUUCUCAGCACACUCUGAGAGACCUGAGUGAGCCCUGCUUGUGGUCUGUGAACCUUAUAGGACUCACAGUCCUCUAUUUGCAGGAUCCUUGUUACCAAGGAAAUGGAAACUGGGCCAAAAAUAGAAAUGAUGCCCAUUUGCAAAAUCCUAAAGGAAACAUAGAAACUGGCAACAAUGGGCAAGCCACUCUUGUGGGUUCUUAUUUCUCAGAUAAACAUGCCUUAAUUUAAGAAUCACCCUUGUUAUAAUAUUAAUUCCUUCUAUUCAAUUUUCAAAUUUACAUAAACAUUACUUAAAACUGAUUAGGCAAGGCUUAGAAGAAACAAUUAUUUUCCAUCUAAUUAAACAGCAAAAAUGCCAGGCUAAUUAUUAAACAAAUUAAUGGAAAUGUCAGAGGAUUUAUAUUGCAAAUUUAAUCCAUUUGAAUAUCUCCUCUUUAAGAGCUCAUUUUGUACAAACAUCCAUAAAAUUUUUUCCUUUGGAGAAAUGCUGUCCUUUCCUUUCUGUGGAAUCCAUUGUUUCAAGUCUGGUGGGAAGGUCCCAGGGAAGCAAGAGUUACAGAGAGACUGCCCAUUUUCUUAUUUUCCAGCUUGCUGGGGAAUGUUGGCAAGUGAUCUUGUUAACAGAGGAUAAAUCCAAGCCAUUUUGAGCAGGCAAACAAAGAAGAAAACUGGGAUUAAAAAGAGAAAGAAUGCAAAAAGGAACAAGGCACUUCACAUGGGCAUGUGAAAGGAGAUACCGAGCCGGAUGUGCUUCUAAGACUUCCACUGAAGGUUAAGUUGACACCUGACACCUGAGGUGAACUGUGUUGCUGACAUCUGCAGAAUCACUUCCUUACCUCGUUACACAAUAGCACCAUGGUCCCCAGCAUGGAGUCUGAUGCCAGACAGCCAAGCCCAGUCCCAGCUGUGCCUCCACUGGUCACGUAGUUGCAAGCAAGUCAUUUAACCUUUCUGCUCCUUGGUUUGCUCACCUGUAGAUGGAGAUGACAGUAUUACCCAUAUCUGACACCUAGGAAAUAUUCAAUAAAGAUUAACUAACAUACUUAUUCUCAAUACAUCAGUAGACGUACUUCAUAUUCUUGCUCAGGUUGAUAGAAAAAUUGGUUUCUCUAGGAUGACACAGUAAGGUGGGAUCAUGACUGUGACAGUAAUAUUAAUAUUUAUAAAGCCAAUACAUUGAAAUGCUUUACAUUUACUUAUUUAAAGGAAGUAAUGAAGAAUCUGGUAUUUAGAAAAUCAGUUUCAUAGUGCAGUUGAUUCAGGAAAAUAUUUUCAGAGUCAUGCAA
ensembl:lncRNA